GAUAACCACUAGGGGUGUCAUUUGACUGAGAGAGGUAAUAACCUUAACUCUUGGAACCUGAUCUAGGUAAAACUAGCGUAGGGAAGUGGUGUUUACGGUUU
rfam:Bacillus alcalophilus ATCC 27647 = CGMCC 1.3604 strain AV1934 contig00028, whole genome shotgun sequence.